GAUAAAUACAAGAUAAUACAUUUUAUGUCAAUACAUUUAGAGAAUCAGUAUGUCUGGAGACGUCGCCGAUACAAAUAGUGUUCCAGAUUUAUAUAUAAUCAACAAUGAUAAUUAUAAAAUGAUGAGAUCAUGGUCUAUGAAUUAAGGAAUUAUUGAAAAAUAUGGAGAUCAAAACUUUUUAAAAAAAAAAUAAUCGAUAGAAAGUAAAUGCAAAAUAAUACAGUACGUAGAAAUGAUUAGAAUUUUCGAAAGAUUAAAUCAAUAUUCCUAUGAAGUAUUGAAAUCAUUAUUAUAUUUACUGAUGAAAGUAUAUUUAACAUAUCGAAUGGAUGAUAUGCUAUUUGGAAAGAAAAAAA